UGGGUGAGAGCAUAUGACAGGCUGUCCUGCUCUGAGUUGUUUUUGUUCAUAAAAAAUUAAGUAACUGAAUUUUGAAGCAAGGCUCUGCAAGUAUCUGAUGUCAGGUAUUUUCUGUUGAAACUAAACAUUAAAUUUUAACUUCAACUUUCCAGCAAGUGUCAAGGCUAUAGGAAUUGCAAUUUGUGUUUUUGAUAUCGACCACUCCAAAAAUGAAUUUGUUCGCCAAAAAUGUAAGCGUACAUUUCAAGCUGUUGACAAGGAAAAGAAUAUUAAAAGAGGAAUGUCUGGUGCAGUUAUAGAGAACUACUAGGACGAAUUGCAAAGUUACUGUAACAGCUAUAGUUAAGAAGAUUGCUGACCUGCGGAACCAAAAUAAAAAAUAAAGGUGGGGUGCAAUAAUAAUUAUUACUGUAGUAUUUAGCAGUGUUUGUCAACCUCUUUGAAGCCUCAUUUGGUUCUGGCAUUUCCCAAUUGGUGUCCAUCUUUUUUAUGUUAUCCAAUUGGAUAAAAUUCCCAUUGGAAAGUGCCAAAAUCCAAU